rnacentral:misc_RNA from 1 species
GAUGAAGAACGCAGCGAAAUGCGAUAAUUAAUGUGAAUUGCAGAAUUCAGUGAAUCAUCGAGUCUUUGAACGCACAUUGCGCCCCCUGGUAUUCCGGGGGGCAUGCCUGUCCGAGCGUCAUUGCUGCCCUCAAGCCCGGCUUGUGUGUUGGGCCCUGCUCCCCCGGGGGCAGGCCCGAAAGGCAGUGGCGGCACCGCGUCCGAUCCUCGAGCGUAUGGGGCUUUGUCACCCGCUCUGUAGGCCCGGCCGGCGCUUGCCGACCCCCAUCAAUCUUUUUUCAGGUUGACCUCGGAUCAGGUAGGGAUACCCGCUGAACUUAAGCAUAUCAAUAAGCGGAGGA